rnacentral:lncRNA from 1 species
AGGAAGAAUUCUUUCCAAUUUUUCAACUCGACACCCGUAAUAUUGGUGUAUAUCUUAAUUACCUAUGAUAUUUCAAUGGUGCCUAAAUUAAUGAAUUGGCAUAUAGAUUCCUCAACAACUUCCUAUUUGAUUUUUUUUGUUGGCUCAUAAUCUUUCAUAUAAUCUGAUAGUUUGGAACUAUACAACUCCGUUUCCAUUGCACUAACAUCAUUUAUAUUAAAAUUAUUCAUUCAAUCAACAAUAGCAUGAUCAGAGUUCACUGUCUCUUCUCUUCUCUUCUCCUAAUUUAUAACAAUGAUAUGUAAUACUAUACUAUCUUAAAAAACAACAUACAAUUAUUCCAUAAUCCAAUCACUGGAAUCUUCUACAUUUAACUAUCAUUCUCUCUAUACUUUUUUAUACAAAUCAAAACUCCAAAGACUCCUUCUCAAACCUCAAUAUUAUAAUUCUCCCAUUCAUAAUCAUUCUUCACCAAUACUUCAAAUUGUCCACUUACAAUUCUCCACUAUGUUCAUCCACAAUAAAUUCCAUACUUUAUUUACAAUAUUUAAUCUCUUUUUCAUUCCAAAAUUUCACUUCACAUUAUUCAAAAACUAUUCAUUACUCUUCAACUACAAAGAAACAAGAAGUAGGACCAAGCUUACUCCAGCUCAUAACUAU